rnacentral:lncRNA from 1 species
CCGGUGGUUAUGUAAAUGGAUUUUUAUGACUGUCCUGUCCACCAACAGGGAUUGCCUGGUAUGGAAGGAUCACCUGGCCCUAAAGGAGAUCAUGGUCCUUUGGGUCCCCCAGGUCCUCGUGGUGAAGCUGGCUUUGAGGGACCGGCGGGGCCAUUAGGAACACAAGGUCCAAUGGGUUUCCCUGGUUUACUGGGUAGAAGAGGACCUGAUGGAGACAAGGGAGAUGCUGGACCCAAAGGAGAAAAGGUAAGUUCAACAUGAAGAUUCGCAUGGAUGGAUUGACAAUAUUUGGCAAAGCA